rnacentral:rRNA from 1 species
AACGAACGCUGGCGGCAUGCCUAACACAUGCAAGUCGAACGAGACCUUCGGGUCUAGUGGCGCACGGGUGCGUAACGCGUGGGAACCUGCCCUUAGGUUCGGAAUAACUCCCCGAAAGGGGUGCUAAUACCGGAUAAUGUCUUCGGACCAAAGAUUUAUCGCCUUUGGAUGGGCCCGCGUUGGAUUAGCUAGUUGGUAGGGUAAAAGCCUACCAAGGCGACGAUCCAUAGCUGGUCUGAGAGGAUGAUCAGCCACACUGGGACUGAGACACGGCCCAGACUCCUAGGAGAGGCAGCAGUGGGGAAUAUUGGACAAUGGGCGAAAGCCUGAUCCAGCAAUGCCGCGUGAGUGAUGAAGGCCUUAGGGUUGUAAAGCUCUUUUACCCGGGAUGAUAAUGACAGUACCGGGAGAAUAAGCUCCGGCUAACUCCGUG